UCCUGCCCUAUGAUUAAUUAAAUGGCUGCAGUAUUCUAACUGUGCAAAGGUAGCAUAAUAAUUAGUCUUUUAAUUGGAGGCUUGUAUGAAAGGGUAAAUGAAAAGUUUGUUUUAUUAAUUAAAUAUUUAUAAUUUAAUUUUUUUGUAAAAAAGCUUAAUUGAUUUUUUGGGACGAUAAGACCCUAUAGAACUUUAUAUUUUUAUUUAUUUAAAUAUUAUUAGAUUUUUGUUUAUUUAAUAAAUUUAAUUAUUUUAUUGGGGUGAUAGAUAAAUUAUUACUUUAUUUAUUUUGUUCAUUGAUUUAUGUUUAUAUGAUCCACUAUGUGAUUAUAAGAUUAAGUUACCUUAGGGAUAACAGCGUAAUUUUAAUGGGGAGUUCAUAUCUAUAUUAAAGUUUGCGACCUCGAUGUUGAAUUAAGAUUAGAUUGGGGGGUAG
rnacentral:rRNA from 1 species